ACGCAACUCCCUCGCCGCCGCCGCCGCCGCCGCGCCGCCCGUCUCCAUUUCGUCAGCUGACGGCCGUCGUCCCCUGCCUCCGCGCGACGCCGUGACUGCGCCGACCCGACCGGUCUCCGCCGAUCCCUUCCCUCGCUGCUCCGCCGAGGAACGAAGCUUUGCUGUUCUACCUCGCUGAUUCGCGCAGCUGUAGCCUGCAGUGUUCUGCUCGGUCACAGCCACUGGAAUUUGAACUGCGGUUUUCUGCUUCUUUAUCCCGUGCUCCUGAAUACUUGGACCUGCGGUGCGUGCAGACUUUCAUUCAGGCACAAAUGAUGAAACUAAGAUUGGCUGAACAUGUAUCUCCCAUUCGCGGAAUUCUUCCCUUGAUACAACUCAAGGCUAUGUCCUCGUUUUCGGCUGGUCAUGGGCGCCGACCGAAGAAAAAGCUUUAUCACCGCGAGCCUGGCCUCGACAAGGCCAUGGACCUCCACAAGAAGCCCGCUCUCCUCCUCCGACUCCGUGAGCUCAUCAUGGCCCAAAAGUCUGGUUCGCUACUCGUGCGUGACCUUGAAAAGGAGGUUGGCUUCGUCCAAAAGUGGAACUUUGUUGCACUUAUCGAGCGCCACCCCAAUAUCUUCCGUGUCUCUGGUGGAAGUACAUCACGGGAGCCCAUUGCUGUUACGCUUACCGAGAAAGCCAGAAAUAUUUCCAGUGAAGAGAUCCAAGCACAAGAGCUAAUGGAGCCUGUCCUAGUAAGAAAUCUGAGGAAGCUGCUAAUGAUGUCGAUGGACUGCCAGAUCCCUCUAGAGAAGAUCGAGCUCAUCCAGUCUGAAUUGGGUUUACCAAAGAACUUUAAGAACAAGCUGAUUCCUAGUUACCCUGAUUUUUUUUCAAUCCGUGAUGUGAGAGGAUUGGACUACCUGUGUUUGGAGAGUUGGGAUUCUUCACUAGCAGUCACAGCACGAGAAGAAAAACUGAAUUUCGAUGGAUUCCAGAUGGACUACAGAGGCGUUCCUAAAGAUGGAAAUAUACUGGGUCCUUUUGCUUUCAAGGUAAAGUAUCCAGCAGGAUUUAGGCCCAACCGAAAGUACCUUGAGGAGGUAGUCAGGUGGCAGAAGAUGGCAUUUCCUUCACCUUAUUUGAAUGCUAGGGAAGUGGAGCCUGCAACUCCACAGGCCCGGAAGCGAUCUGUUGCUGUUUUACAUGAGAUUUUGAGCUUGACAAUGCACAAAAGACUGACAUCUGAUAAGCUAGAAGUCUUCCAUAACGAGUACAGGCUGCCAUGCAAGCUACUUCUUUGCUUAGUAAAAAAUCAUGGUAUCUUCUACAUCACUAACAAGGGAGCAAGAAGUACUGUCUUCCUCAAGGAGGCCUAUGAUGACACUGACCUUAUUGAGAAGUGUCCUCUGUUGAAAUUCCAUGAUCAGUUUUCAUCUUUAAUUGGCCGACCAUGCUCUGACUCAAAUACUGCACUGGCAGUAUAAAUGGAGUAUUGAUUUAUUGGGAGGCCAAACCACGGUCGGGUUGCUUUGUGCAUCCUCUUAGUUGAUUGCUAGAUGCUCACAUGAGCUCAUUUGCACGCAACCAGCUAUAAGGAUAUUUGUUGCUGUUCUGCAAGUUAAAACGUGUCAUACUCACACAGUUACACCACUAGAUUCUAUUGGUAGGUCGGAUGGCUUUAAUUUUAUUACCAGUGCUCGUCAUUCCUUGCAUGAACUUACUAUUGGUAUUGGUUUUAGCAAAUUAACAAUCCCAAAUCCCAAUCAGUCCUUGUUUUGUUGUUUCUGCAUCCAAUAACAGGCAGAAAGCACCUGUAAGAUGCUCCAGAUGCUGUUAAUGACCGAAUUUCCCUUCAUGCUUAUCAGAUUUGUUUACAGUGCUUAUCUAUGUUUGGCGUAUCCAAUUGUGUUCUCAUGCUCGUGUCACUAGUGACUUCAAUUUUCCACAUUGGACUUGCACGGUAUCAUUAUCUUAGUUUUUGAUAUUUUCUUCAGGAUGGUGUAUCAUUUCCGUCUCGGUCCACUUAUUUAUUUUUCUUAGGUGUCCUGAGUAGUGAAUAAGCAGCAGGACAUCCCUACAGGUUGUUUGAGAUACUAAGAACGAGACAUGAUUUCACAUGUAAUUGUACAUCUUCGGUAACUUAAUAUCUAAUUGAUCGUCCGUGAGUCGAUUAUUAUAAGCAUCUAGAGACAUAAACUUACUUCUGGUAUAUAAUAUUCUUCAUUUUCGUGACAGAUUGGCAACAUAAGUUACUGACAUUUGAAGUAACUUGAUGUCUUCCUAUAUCAUUGGUAUAGUCUUAACUUUAUAUACAUGAGUAUUCAGGAUGAUUGAAACACAACACUGAUUGCCCCAUUUCUGUUAAGCAAGACUUAUGCCUGGGACUAUGGUCCCCAUCCCACAUGUUUGUAAUCUACAGUGUCAAUUGUUCAGCAGACAGAAAUCAUAGAGUGUGAACUGUAAUCCAACAUGGCAUAUCAAUUACUGUGCGAUCUUUAACCAGCAGGGACAGUAGUCAAGUACAGAGACAUUACAGUGGAGUGCUUUGACGGAUUGAGCGAGGGCUGAAAAAUGGCAUCCUCUAGAAUCCUGUAGGUGAAGUGGUUGCUUAGUCUUGAAUAAUGGCUGGUGAAAUUGGGUAAACACUGCUUUGCUGUUGAUGCCGGACCGGAUUCUACAUGUGCAAAGUUUCAUUGGUUGUUAUGCAAAUACCUGCAACAGGCUGCUGAUGGGCAGGUAAGGACGUAUCGAAGGGAGAUUAUUCUAGCCCAAGUACUCUAGAAACGAUUUUAUUCCAUGUCAAUCAGACAGAGCAUGGGCAUCUGGACAUGGAAAUGAACCAUUCCGUGUUUACCUCGUCGCCAAGGCGCCAGGUCAAUCAAUUUUAGAUAGCCUUAGACUAUGCUCCCCAUUACCCACAUGUUUGUAAUCUACAGUGUCAAUUGUUCAGCAGACAUAAUUCAUAGAGGGUGAACUGUAAUCCAAGAUGGCGUAUCAAUUAUUGUGUGAUCUUUAUCCAGCAGGAACAGGUUAAGUGGUUGCUUAGCCUUGAAUAAUGGCUGGUGAAAUUGGGCAAACACUGCUUGCUGUUUAUGUCGGACAGGAUUCUACAAGUGCAAAGUUUCAUUUGUUGAUGCCAAUACCUGCAACAGGCUGCUGAUGGGCUGGUUUGGACCCCUUUCCUACUAUCUUGAGUAUUUUCUGAUUGAUAAUCCUGCAUUGAAGUGGUUGUCCAAAUAGAAUGUCUUGGUGGGAGAUGCAUAUGUACUCACCUGCAGGGGUGGACUAAGCUCUCGGUGGGAUCCAAUCAAUCAGAUGAACAUAUGCUAAGUAAAGAACGACCGACAAAAUUAUGCAUUGGUGUCGACACAUGGAGGUGAAAUGAGGCCAACUAUGAUUGUGCUGCUCAAUUAUAACCCGUGCAAGUGAGGAGCAUAAACGGGAUCAGUGACUGGGACCAGAUUCUGCAUACACUAAGGGAGCACCUAUGAUGGUGGUCAUGACUCAUGAGCCUGGUCAGAUGCACUCAAAGCUGGCUAGAUUGGGAUGGGUGUUAGUGGCUGCUAGUUUAGGAUGGCUUACCAGAAAAUACAACGGAUGGAUAUGGAGACUACAGGCCCUUUUCUGACCCAAUUUGUUUUCCCUCUCCCGGUAAGGACGUAUCGAACGGAAAUUAUUCUAGCCUCAUACUCUAGAGACGAUUUUAUUCCAUGUCAAACGGACAGAGAGCACGAGCAUCUGGACAUGGGAGUCGCCAAGGCUCAGGCCGGGUCAAUCAUUUUAGGCAAGCAUUUGAGGUAACUUACGGCCAUGUUAUAUACUAUGUACCAGUAGUUAAACAAUCACAUGCUUAUUUUAUUGGCCGGGUUCAGUAGCUCCUUUUCUUCAACUCUAGGGCACAUAUUUAGAAUUAGCAUGUCCUCCAUCGGAUUACGGAACGCAAUGGAUCGAGGAGAGCUAAAGCAAAGUUGUGGCAAGGUAACAUGGAGUGCCAUCUACUACUCGUAGCACAACAGAUGAGACGAGUAUAGUACAAUACAUGCCAACUUUUUCUGCUGUUGCACAAGAUGAUGACCACCCUAAUGCUCCUUUUGCCAAC